CUCCCGGUCGGUUCAGUCGCAUUUCAGACGUUCCAUCAACUGCGCUCUGCCAAGUUCCGCAUUACGUCGUCUUCCGCGCGGAAAAUCUGUUCUUCUGGCGACCACCGCGAACGUUCCAUAGGGAUAUGACGCGCGAACAAAAGUCGCUCCGGAAAGUGAAAUCAAGAAGAAGUCGGAAAAACUGUGCAUCAAUCAUCGCGGGUGCUGUGAAGUGUUAGCGAUCGUGUAUUUGUGAA